rnacentral:rRNA from 1 species
UCUGGUGACUAUUGCGAAGGUGUAACACCCGAAACCAUUCCGAACUCGGCAGUUAAGCCCUUCAGCGCCGAUGGUACUGCUCGUGCGAACGUGCGGGAGAGUAGGUCGUUGCCAGAU